rnacentral:rRNA from 1 species
UACGUAGGGGGCAAGCGUUGUCCGGAUUUAUUGGGCGUAAAGAGCUCGUAGGCGGUUUGUCGCGUCUGCUGUGAAAACUCGGGGCUUAACUCCGGGCCUGCAGUGGGUACGGGCAGACUAGAGUGCGGUAGGGGAGACUGGAAUUCCUGGUGUAGCGGUGGAAUGCGCAGAUAUCAGGAGGAACACCGGUGGCGAAGGCGGGUCUCUGGGCAGUAACUGACGCUGAGGAGCGAAAGCGUGGGGAGCGAACAGG